UUGCUCUUCAACGAGGAAUUCCUAGUAAGCGUGAGUCAUCAGCUCGCGUUGAUUACGUCCCUGCCCUUUGUACACACCGCCCGUCGCUACUACCGAUUGAAUGGCUUAGUGAGACCUCCGGAUUGGCUUCGGGGAGCCGGCAACGGCACCCUGUCGCUGAGAAGCUGGUCAAACUUGGUCAUUUAGAGGAAGUAAAAGUCGUAACAAGGUUUCCGUAGGUGAACCUGCGGAAGGAUCAUUAGCGAAGUUCGGAAUGCCGGUUCGGUGCUGAAGCUGCCCAGCGAUGGGAUGUGCUCGUCCGGGCCGGUGUCCCUUCUCUAUUCCACCCCACUGUGAACCAAGCGUGCGAGCAGAAGAGAGAUCGGAAGCUCGCAUGCACACUUUAACAUACCCCUUAUGAAGUAUCUGAAUGUACCUUGCGUUAACUCGCACAAAUACAACUUUCAACAACGGAUCUCUUGGCUCUCGCAUCGAUGAAGAACGCAGCGAAAUGCGAUAAGUAAUGUGAAUUGCAGAAUUCAGUGAAUCAUCGAAUCUUUGAACGCACCUUGCGCCCCUUGGCAUUCCGAGGGGCACGCCUGUUCGAGUGUCGUGAACUCCUCCACCCUCUACCUUUUUCGAAGGGUUGUUGGGCUGGGAUUUGGGAGCUUGCGGGUCCCUGGCCGAUCCGCUCUCCUUGAAUACAUUAGCGAAGCCCUUGCGGCCUUGGUGUGAUAGUCAUCUACGCCUCGGCUUAGCGAACCUGUGGGAGUCGCUUCCAACCGUCCCUCUGCGGACAAUCACUACCAACUUGACCUCGAAUCAGGCGGGACUACCCGCUGAACUUAAGCAUAUCAAUAAGCGGAGGA
rnacentral:rRNA from 1 species